rnacentral:tRNA from 21 species
GCCGGGAUAGCUCAGUUGGUAGAGCAGAGGACUGAAAAU